rfam:Gossypium raimondii Chr12_contig_214, whole genome shotgun sequence.
UGUUAAAAUUUUCAUCCAUUUAUAUUAUUAAAAAUUGGGGUGACUAACAGAAUAACCAAACAGUUACACGUGAUGUGUCAUAUGUACCUCAUACUAACAUAAAUGAACUAGUUUUAAACGAUAGAAAUAUAUAGAAAUUUUAACA